GGCGGAUCCCGUUACAUACGGCCGAUUCCAUCUUUUGGAGAAGCGAAACCCGAUGUCACCGUCGGCGAGACCUCAGUCUCUUCGUCUUAUGGAAGAGCGACCGAGCCUCGCUGUUGCUACCGCUGCUGGCCGAGGGGCUUCCCCGGUUUAGGUUGAGUUCUUCAUCGACUACCUUACCACCACUUCUUCCGCCCUUGCGAUCGAUGCACAUCCAUCACGUAGCUACUGACGAAGGCUAAAGAGAGGGCAUCAUCAAGAUUGCUGGAAUCUUAAAUAACUUACAAGUGGAAGAGCCAGCAACGCGACUGAUGUGAUCAUGCAUCAUAUGGGCAUUCCUCAGAUAAAUGUGUUGGACCAAGAGUGCAGGUUGGUAUGGUGACACCUAUGUGCCUUCAUCUAACAUCUGAAGAUCUGCUAGACAAGCUUUAGCUUCCAGUACCCGAUGAAGCUUUGUCACUGCUUAUGGGAAUGGGUUACAAAGAAAAUGCAGCGAAAAGGGCCCUAAGAAUGACCGGUCAAGACGUUCAGCCAGCAGUUCAUUUCCUGGUUGAAGAGGAAGCUAGGAAAAUACUCAGGAAACAGGAGAACAUUCAGCGACAAGUGGAGAUUUUGUAUGGCUCUAUACUUUGCCAUAGAAUGUUUUUAUCUUAUUUUUUAAUUAAUGAUUGUUGCUGAUUGUAUAAAUUUGUAGAGAACAGAGGAGAUAUGGUACUAAUAAAUCAUGGCAUAUAGCAUAAUGCGACAGAUGUAAUGGCUUUGCUUCUGUGGAUUGUGAAACAUUAGAUUGUGUCAGGCACUUAUCAGAUUGCUCUCUGGUGUCUAGGAUCAAUACAUGUACACUACUAGUCAAUCUAUUUUGCAGUUUUGAUAGAUAUCUUGCUGCACAGGCUCUUAGGGUGAACGAAAAUGAAGUUAAAAAAGCAUUAGAUCUGUUGACAAAUCCUGAAAGAAAUUGUGCCCUUCUGGUACUUAGUUUUCUUUAGAGUGCUUCUAUAUUAUCAUUUUCACUAACUAAUGACCUUUUGACUGCGAGAAUCGACUUGGCAGUUGGGAGUAUAGGAUUCCUCAGGUGCAGACAUCGAGGAAUUAGUAUCCUUGUGGUAUAACCGAUCAUCAGUUGUGGAUGCUGUGCAAAGGUCAUGUACCAAGGAGGAUGCGUUGAAACUUCUUGUCGGAGCAAAUUCAGAGGACAGCCAGCAUGCUAUAAUCAACCAACCGAAAGAUGAUCAAGGGCCAUCAGCCGCUUUAGCUAAUGAAGAUAAAAUGGAUCUGGGAGGAGAACACAAAUAUGAGAGAGACGAAGCCGUGGAAGACGAGCUUGCGAAAGAACUGACCGGUGAUCCAUUGGCAGACUACGACGCGGAAGUAAUGAAAGAAGGAGAGGCCAUAGCAAAGUAUUUGGCCCUUCUGGAUUCAAAAGCCAAUGCAACAUAGGAAAUAAGAUACACAGGUUCUUCCAGAAUCCAGUAAAUAAGUAAGUUAGUGUAGUUUCCUUUUAUAUCCUCCAGCAUUAAUAUAGUAUUAUAAAAGAUACGACUGCGAUUUCUUUUUUAAAUAGCCUUAAGUUUUCUUUUUGUAAUCAAUCAUUUCCAAAUGGGUUUUUAUCUAUCUGGCAAUGUGCACCCAGCAGCGGAGAGGUCAUAUAUGGUGUUUUACAUUUAAAAUUUCAUGCUCCAAGGGAAA